rnacentral:rRNA from 1 species
UAUCUCGAAAAUAAAAGAUCUAUAUUAGUUAGGAGUUUUUUGUGUCAGAAAAAUUUGGUAUAUUAGUAUAGGGGUGAAAUGUUAAUCGAUUUUAUUAAUAUCUAGUCACUUUCGAUAAAAAUUUAGUUUAAAAUGUUUAGAAUUAUCAUUUUACAUACAUGUUUAGUUUUUAGGGGAUGAGCUCUAAAAAUAAUUUAUAAGAAAUGAAGUUUUAUUAUUUUCUAUUUAGGCCUGAAAUUAGCUAUAGGAUAGUGUUAUAAGAUAGGAGUUUAUGAUUAUGAUUUAUAUGUAAUUCUUUUAAAAAAAGAAAGUUAUCUUUAAAAUAUUAAUGUAAAAGAAAAAAUGAUAGUAUUAGUAGAAUUAAUUAUAAAAUAAUCAAUGGGUGUUUUUCAAUAUAUUAUUAUAAAAGAAUUCGGCAAAAAUGAUUUCCGAAUGUUUAACAAAAACAUUUCCUCUUUGUUUAAGAGGUAAGGCCUGCUCACUGAAUUUUAAAGAGCCGCAGUAUAUUGACUGUGCUAAGGUAGCAUAAUCAUUAGUCUUUUAAUUGGGGACUGGUAUGAAUGGCUAAACGAGAAAUCAGCUUUUUUUGUAAUAUAAAUUUAAUUUAAUUUUUUAGUGAAAAGGCUAAAAUUAUUCAGAAAGACGAGAAGACCCUAUAGAGUUUUAUAUAAUAAAAAAUUUUAUUUAAGUUGUUUUUUAUGAUUGAAAUUUGGUUUUAUAUUUUGUUGGGGCGACAUUAAGAUAAUUUGAACUCUUGGUUUUUAAUACUUUUACUAAGGAAUGAUAAUGAUCCUCUAGAAGAGAUUAAAGGAAAAAAUUACCUUAGGGAUAACAGCGUAAUCUUUUUUGAGAGUUCGUAUCGACGAAAAGGUUUGCGACCU